UUGGUGGAAUGCGUGGUCAACUGUCAGC
rnacentral:piRNA from 1 species